rnacentral:lncRNA from 1 species
GGCCAAGCCCAUGGACUAAUUGGGGGGAAGGGCUGAAGAGAGACUCUUAGAGGCAGUCCUUUUUUCCUGAACUGGUCCUUGACUGGAGCAUCCAGCAUGUGCUGGAGAGGCUUGCUGGGUGAGUGACUCGUGCUGAAGUAAGAGGCUUGUGUUGGUGGUUUUCUGGCUGGCUGACUAGUUCUAUGACUAGGACUUCCACUUGGAGAUCAGGACAUGAAGGAACCUGAGCUGAACUUCUUCAGAUCAGCACUUAGGCUGGACUGGACCCUCCAAUUCAAGUCAUUAAAGAGAGAGACAGACCUUAUACUGGCAAAGAAAAAGACUUCACCAAAUAUCCCAGAUCAAGAACACUACUGUUCAUCCUUGAACCCACAGACUCCAUUUUUAAAGGGAGAGAUAAUCCAAUCUCAUGUCUGGCCACUGCAAUCCAGGACAAUUCUGAAGGACUUAUGAGAAAGAAUGCUGUCCACAUUCAGAGGAAGAUCUGUGGGAGUAGAAACACAGAAGAAAAACAACUACUUGAUUACAUAGGUCAAGGGGGAUAUGAUUGGGGAUGAAGACUCUAAAUGAUCAUCCUAGUGUAAAUAUCAACAACAUGGAAAUAGGUUCUGAUCAAGGACACAUGUAAAACCCAGUGGAAUUAUGCAUCAGCUACGGGAAGGGGUAGGGAGGGGAGGGAAAGAAUAUAAUUCUUGUAACCAAGGAAUAAUGUUCUAAAUUGACUAAUUAAAUAAACAUUUCAAAAAAUAAGAA